rnacentral:pre_miRNA from 1 species
UAUAAUUUUUGACUCUUCGUUUUAUUUAAAUUUUUUUAUGAUUGAUAUUUUUUUAUUAGAUGAUAAAUCAUAAAUAGUACUUUACGUGUGACUAAUUUUUUUUCAGUUUUCUGAAAAUUUUUUCAAAUAAAACGGAUGGUUAAACUUUUUGGACACGAAAACC